UGCAAAGAGCGCGUGCUGCGUUUGAGUCACCUCCCACUGUACCACCUGCAGGGCGGCUUCAUAAAGAUCUUUCAGCUGGACAAGCACUUUCGAGAAGCGAAUCUAACAAAAGGAGUAAAGCUCGUUCGUCAAGUUUAUGUUUUGGAGCAGAUGACAGAAGACUAAGCCGCCCGCGUCACUGUUAAAUAUAUUUCUCGGGUCCUCCGUCAUAAUACCAUGUACGUCGUAUGCCUCUAGGCAGUCAAAUAACACUCUCCAGGAGCAAGAACGUGAGGAUGCUGUUUUUGUAACGGUAUUUUGGUCUCAUGCACAGGCGCUACAUCUGCUGUUGGCUAUGACGAAUGGAUGGAAAUUGCAAGAUGUUAAGGCGCUCCGCCCCUCAAAGGAUAUCUCACGCAAAGUACACAAAAUAGUCCAGUACGAAGCCAGUCAACAGCAAACGGGCUACACGUAGAUCAAGAUGGUCCAACUUUGUGACAAUAAUAAUAAUGAUGACCCUUG